rnacentral:lncRNA from 1 species
CAAGCCAGGACACCUGGAAGCCUGGAAAUGAAAGAAUUUAAAUUUCAAUGGAGUUGAUUUCAUCAAUCCUUUUGGUAUGGCCACCACUUCCUGUGCCGUGUUGAAGAAUCUGUCUACUGCUCUGAAGGCAUAAAGCCGUUCUCUACUUUCUAGAAGUUUUACAUUUUGUCUUUAACAUGUAUGUCUACAAUUCCCCUGAAAUUGAUGUCAUGAAUGGUUUGAGGUCGGGAUCAAGCUCCAUUUUUU